rnacentral:pre_miRNA from 1 species
UUGUAUCUGUGCUUUAUGGCUUUUUAUUCCUAUGUGAUUGCUUCUGUAACCUCGCGUAGGGGUGAAAGCCAUGGAACACGGUGCAA